rnacentral:rRNA from 1 species
GACGUAGGGCGCGAGCGUUGUCCGGAUUUAUUGGGCGUAAAGAGCUCGUAGGCGGCUUGUCGCGUCGACUGUGAAAUCCCGCGGCUCAACUGCGGGUCUGCAGUCGAUACGGGCAGGCUAGAGUUCGGUAGGGGAGACUGGAAUUCCUGGUGUAGCGGUGAAAUGCGCAGAUAUCAGGAGGAACACCGAUGGCGAAGGCAGGUCUCUGGGCUGCAACUGACGCUGAGGCGCGAAGGCUAGGGUAGCAAACAGG